rnacentral:rRNA from 1 species
AUGAACGCUGGCGGCAGGCCUAACACAUGCAAGUCGAACGGAGUUAUAUUGUAGCUUGCUAUGGUAUAACUUAGUGGCAGACGGGUGAGUAAUGUAUAGGAAUCUACCUAGUAGUACGGAAUAAUUGUUGGAAACGGCAACUAAUACCGUAUACGCCCUACGGGGGAAAAAUUUAUUGCUAUUAGAUGAGCCUAUAUUAGAUUAGCUAGUUGGUGGAGUAAUAGCCUACCAAGGCAAUGAUCUAUAGCUGAUCUGAGAGGAUGAUCAGCCACACUGGAACUGAGAUACGGUCCAGACUCCUACGGGAGGCAGCAGUGGGGAAUAUUGGACAAUGGGCGAAAGCCUGAUCCAGCCAUGCCGCAUGAGUGAAGAAGGCCCUUGGGUUGUAAAGCUCUUUUAGUGAGGAAGAUAAUGACGGUACUCACAGAAGAAGUCCUGGCUAACUCCGUGCCAGCAGCCACGGUAAUACGGAGAGGGCUAGCGUUAUUCGGAAUUAUUGGGCGUAAAGGGCGCGUAGGCGGAUUAGUAAGUUAAAAGUGAAAUCCCCAAGGGUCAACCUUGGAAUUGCUUUUAAACUGCUAAUCUAGAGAUUGAGAGAGGAUAGAAGGA